rnacentral:rRNA from 1 species
GACGGAAGGGGGCUAGCGUUGUUCGGAAUUACUGGGCGUAAAGAGCGCGUAGGCGGAUUAGUAAGUUGGGAGUGAAAGCCCGGGGCUUAACCUCGGAAUAGCUUUCAAAACUACUAGUCUUGAGUGUAGUAGGGGAUGAUGGAAUUCCUAGUGUAGAGGUGAAAUUCUUAGAUAUUAGGAGGAACACCGGUGGCGAAGGCGGUCAUCUGGGCUACAACUGACGCUGAGGCGCGAAAGCGUGGGGAGCAAACAGG